CCUACGGGGGGCAGCAGUGGGGAAUCUUCCGCAAUGGGCGAAAGCCUGACGGAGCAACGCCGCGUGAGUGAUGACGGCCUUCGGGUUGUAAAACUCUGUGAUCCGGGACGAAAAGGCAGAGUGCGAAGAACAAACUGCAUUGACGGUACCGGAAAAGCAAGCCACGGCUAACUACGUGCCAGCAGCCGCGGUAAUACGUAGGUGGCAAGCGUUGUCCGGAAUUAUUGGGCGUAACGCGCGCGCAGGCGGCUUCCCAAGUCACUCUUAAAAGUGCGGGGCUUAACCCCGUGAUGGGAAGGAAACUGGGAAGCUGGAGUAUCGUAGAGGAAAGUGGAAUUCCUAGUGUAGCGGUGAAAUGCGUAGAGAUUAGGAAGAACACCGGUGGCGAAGGCGACUUUCUGGACGAAAACUGACGCUGAGGCGCGAAAGCGUGGGGAGCAAACAGGAUUAGAUACCCUGGUAGUC
rnacentral:rRNA from 1 species